UCCGCAGCGUGCGAGCCUGCGAUGGAUGUGGUGGGAAGACAGCACAAGCUUAACCAUUGUUGAGCAGUAACAGGAAGUGAAUUUCGGAGAGACUCCAACCCUGCUGCAAAACCUGCAAACCAGAAUGGGAAGUGUUAGCCCAGAAAAGGCCCAUCUGCCAGUAAGAUUGGGUAGGCCCGCGGAGAAAGGAAACCGAGUUCAGACUUCAGAGUCACCCCGGCGGCCUCCUCCACCCGCACGGCCGCACAGGCACAGCCACUGACCGUCUGGCCGUGUGACGGAGCGGCGACCCCUCCCGUUCCGCAUGGAGUCACGCGCGUUCCUGGCUCGGCGACCACCGGAAGCCGGCAACCGCGACCGGUCCCGGCUGCUGUUGAUCAUUGUGAGCCCCUUUUCUGGGACGGUUUCUGCAGAACUGGGACAAGAAAAAGGAGGCGACAGCAACGGGCGAAGAUUCGCGUUUUUGCAGUGGGCGCUUGUGUGUUGUGUUCUGGACUGGAGGAAGUGGCUGGUGCAUCGAAGACGAAGAUAUCAUUAACGUCGUGGUCAAUGCGCGCGUAGUCUGUGGCUGAUUGAGGGGAGCAACUGGAUGGAGGAGGAGGUGAGGAAGAGGAUAAUGGCGCUGGCGCGGCCGGGGUGGGUGGGUGUGGGUGAGUGGGCACGGCUGUGCCCCCCGUUUACUUUUGGUGCGUUGGAGAGCGUCGGGCGAUGUGUACGUCUGCGUCGCUGUUUGCCUCGGCCCUACGGCGUAGUGUCUCUGUCCACCAAAAAAAAAAAUAGCACACAAUUUUAUGUCCACUCAAACUCAAGUUGUUUUAAUUUUGGGCCAAAAGUGUAAAAAAAACUAUUAUCAAUAUAUAUGGCUUUACAUAAAUGUGUAAUAAGAAUAUGUCUCGUGGCAGAUGUAGUUAUUAUGAUAAAUAUUAGUAUUUUUUUCUAUAUAAAUUUAGUCUAGUCUUACUUGGUCUUGUUCUGUAAUUGUAUUCUUUGCUUGGGAUUGUA